UACGUAGGGUGCGAGCGUUAGUCGGAAUUACUGGGCGUAAAGCGUGCGCAGGCGGCUUUGCAAGUCAGACGUGAAAGCCCCGGGCUUAACCUGGGAAUGGCGUUUGAAACUACGGAGCUGGAGUAUGGCAGAGGGGGGUGGAAUUCCACGUGUAGCGGUGAAAUGCGUAGAUAUGUGGAGGAACACCGAUGGCGAAGGCAGCCCCCUGGGCCAAUACUGACGCUCAUGCACGAAAGCGUGGGGAGCAAACAGG
rnacentral:rRNA from 1 species